UUCUGCUGCUUCUUUUGCUCGAUGUACUUGACAUUUCGGGCGGUCAGCUUGCGAGGACGGCUGCGUUUCUUCUUCUUCGUCUUGAGGUACCAGGCAGGACCCAUCGCCUUCUUGACGUUCGCCAGGCUUUCCUUGCGGCGCACUUCGGCCGAAUCAGGUGGUGGGGGCUUUCUCCUCCCAGAACUCAACCGCUUUUGGGCCGUUCUCGCAGGCAAUACAGCGCCGCACGAUGUCCCGCCCGCUGUUUGUACGGAACGCGUAGCCGUACUGCAGCUUCCAGCAGCAGACGCAGCGCGCUCGGGGGUCCGUCGUAGACCGCUGCGGGCUCAGCAGAAGCGGGUCAAUCUUCACUCGGCCCACCAUUUUGCAAACGGUGAGUAAGUUAGCAACAUAUAUUGUUUUAACCAAUUACUUGCGUCCAAAUAUUAGCCAAUAGCACGGUAAUGUAAGGCUGGUAUUUAUUAUUAAGCAACAUAUUAAAAUGUUUUAAAUAUUACUAUUUUGCUUUAAUAGUAAUACUAUCAGAUUUUUAAACAAAUACAUACUUUACAUGCAAUAAAAGUGACUAAAAGACUAUUAUCGUGCGCGCAUGCAUUCGUCGGGUGGGGUGCACGGGAGCAGAUAGCGCAAUGACCGUGCAGCCGCGCGCCUUCAUUGCACGGUGGCAGUGGUGAGUGCCAGGUGAAGUAAAGAAGAUAUAUAUUCGCAAAGUCCCUACAAAAAGCGCUGGUUGUGAAGCCUACUUUAAUAUUAAAAAAAAAAAAAAA
rnacentral:lncRNA from 1 species